UUUAAUUGAAGAGUUUGAUCAUGGCUCAGAUUGAACGCUGGCGGCAGGCCUAACACAUGCAAGUCGAGCGGAAACGACGGUAAAGAUUCUUCGGAUGAUUUAUCGGGCGUCGAGCGGCGGACGGGUGAGUAAUGCUUAGGAAUUUGCCCAGUCGAGGGGGAUAACCAUUGGAAACGAUGGCUAAUACCGCAUACGCCC
rnacentral:rRNA from 1 species